rnacentral:rRNA from 1 species
UACGUAGGGGGCUAGCGUUGUCCGGAAUCAUUGGGCGUAAAGCGCGUGUAGGCGGUCCGGUAAGUCCGCUGUGAAAGUCGGGGGCUCAACCCUCGGAUGCCGGUGGAUACUGUCGGGCUUGAGUACGGAAGAGGCGAGUGGAAUUCCUGGUGUAGCGGUGAAAAUGCGCAGAUAUCAGGAGGAACACCAAUUGCGAAGGCAGCUCGCUGGGACGUUACUGACGCUGAGACGCGAAAGCGUGGGGGAGCAAACAGG